GAUGAACGCUGGCGGCGUGCUUAAUACAUGCAAGUCGAGCGAACUGAUUAGAAGCUUGCUUCUAUGACGUUAGCGGCGGACGGGUGAGUAACACGUGGGCAACCUGCCUGUAAGACUGGGAUAACUUCGGGAAACCGAAGCUAAUACCGGAUAGGAUCUUCUCCUUCAUGGGAGAUGAUUGAAAGAUGGUUUCGGCUAUCACUUACAGAUGGGCCCGCGGUGCAUUAGCUAGUUGGUGAGGUAACGGCUCACCAAGGCAACGAUGCAUAGCCGACCUGAGAGGGUGAUCGGCCACACUGGGACUGAGAUACGGCCCAGACUCCUACGGGAGGCAGCAGUAGGGAAUAUUGCGCAAUGGACGAAAGUCUGACGCAGCAACGCCGCGUGGGUGAUGAAGUUUUUCGGAAUGUAAAACCCUGUCGGUGGGGAAGAACCGCACGAUUAGUAACUGAUUCGUGCCUGACGGUACCCACAAAGGAAGUCCCGGCUAACUCCGUGCCAGCCGCCGCAGUAACAC
rnacentral:rRNA from 1 species